UACGAAGGGGGCUAGCGUUGUUCGGAAUCACUGGGCGUAAAGCGCACGCAGGCGGAUUGAUAAGUCAGGGGUGAAAUCCCGGGGCUCAACCUCGGAAUUGCCUUUGAUACUGUCUGUCUUGAGUCCGGGAGAGGAUAGUGGAAUUCCCAGUGUAGAGGUGAAAUUCGUAGAUAUUGGGAAGAACACCGGUGGCGAAGGCGGCUAUCUGGCCCGUAAUUGACGCUGAGGCGCGAAAGCGUGGGGAG
rnacentral:rRNA from 1 species